GAUGAACGCUAGCGGGAGGCUUACACAUGCAAGUCGAGGGGCAGCACGAGGUAGCAAUACUUUGGUGGCGACCGGCGCACGGGUGAGUAACGCGUAUGUAACCUACCCUGUACGGGGGGAUAGCCCGGAGAAAUUCGGAUUAAUACCCCAUAAAGAUAUUGAGAGGCAUCUUUUAAUAUUUAAAGCUCAGGCGGUACGGGAUGGGCAUGCGUAACAUUAGCUAGUUGGCAGGGUAACGGCCUACCAAGGCUGCGAUGUUUAGGGGUCCUGAGAGGGUGAUCCCCCACACUGGUACUGAGACACGGACCAGACUCCUACGGGAGGCAGCAGUGAGGAAUAUUGGUCAAUGGGCGCAAGCCUGAACCAGCCAUCCCGCGUGCAGGAAGAAGGCGCUAUGCGUUGUAAACUGCUUUUGCAGGGGAAGAAUGUUCUGUAUGUAUACGGGAUUGACGGUACCUUGUGAAUAAGCAUCGGCUAACUCCGUGCCAGCAGCCGCGGUAAUACGGAGGAUGCGAGCGUUAUCCGGAUUUAUUGGGUUUAAAGGGUGCGUAGGCGGAUUGAUAAGUCAGUGGUGAAAUACUGCAGCUUAACUGUAGAAUUGCCGUUGAUACUGUCAGUCUUGAGUAUGGUUAAGGUAGGCGGAAUGUGUAAUGUAGCGGUGAAAUGCUUAGAUAUUACACAGAACACCGAUUGCGAAGGCAGCUUACUGAGCCAAAACUGACGCUGAGGCACGAAAGCGUGGGGAGCGAACAGGAUUAGAUACCCUGGUAGUCCACACCUUAAACGAUGAAUACUAGGUGUCGGGUCGAAAGACUCGGUGCCAAAGCUAACGCAUUAAGUAUUCCACCUGGGGAGUACGAUCGCAAGGUUGAAACUCAAAGGAAUUGACGGGGGCCCGCACAAGCAGUGGAGCAUGUGGUUUAAUUCGAUGCAACGCGAAGAACCUUACCAGGGUUUGAAAAGCAAGAUUUCAGAGGAUGAAAGUCCUUUACCCGCAAGGGGUCUUGUACAGGUGCUGCAUGGCUGUCGUCAGCUCGUGCCGUGAGGUGUUAGGUUAAGUCCUGCAACGAGCGCAACCCCUACAUUUAGUUGCUACCAGGUAAUGCUGAGCACUCUAAAUGGACUGCCUACGCAAGUAGAGAGGAAGGUGGGGAUGACGUCAAGUCCUCAUGGCCCUUACACCCUGGGCCACACACGUGCUACAAUGGUAACUACAGAGGGCUGCAAUACCGCAAGGUGGAGCCAAUCCCAAAAAAGUUAUCUCAGUUCAGAUUGAGGGCUGAAACUCGCCCUCAUGAAGCUGGAAUUGCUAGUAAUCGCAGAUCAGAACGCUGCGGUGAAUACGCUCCCGGGCCUUGUACACACCGCCCGUCAAGCCAUGGAAGCUGAGGGUACCCGAAGCCGCUACGCUAAC
rnacentral:rRNA from 1 species